AACGAACGCUGGCGGCAUGCCUAACACAUGCAAGUCGAACGAGACCUUCGGGUCUAGUGGCGCACGGGUGCGUAACGCGUGGGAACCUGCCCUUAGGUUCGGAAUAACUCCCCGAAAGGGGUGCUAAUACCGGAUAAUGUCUUCGGACCAAAGAUUUAUCGCCUUUGGAUGGGCCCGCGUUGGAUUAGCUAGUUGGUAGGGUAAAAGCCUACCAAGGCGACGAUCCAUAGCUGGUUUGAGAGGAUGAUCAGCCACACUGGGACUGAGACACGGCCCAGACUCAUACGGGAGGCAGCAGUGGAGAAUAUUGGACAAUGGGCGAAAGCCUGAUCCAGCAAUGCCGCGUGAGUGAUGAAGGCGUUAGGGUUGUAAAGCUCUUUUACCCGGGAUGAUAAUGACAGUACCGGGAGAAUAAGCUCCGGCUAACUCCGUG
rnacentral:rRNA from 1 species